UUACAAAUGGAAUUCAUAAUUUUAACAUGUCCAAAACAUUGCGGAAUGAUACUAAUUUCACUUGGGUAAUGAUUACAUUUUACUCGGACUUUAUCAUAGACUCCCUGUGUAAAAUCCCAAACUUUCAACUAAAAUAAAAGUAUUUAAUAUUUCAAUGAAACUUCAAAGUUUUGUUGUUUGUAGCAUCAUCUGGGGCAUGUGCAGUGAGAAAUCUUAAUUUGAUUUCUAAAAUAGUGUGAUAUUUAUUUCUAAAGUCACUAUAUGUUCAUUGUAAAUAUACUUUGUUAUACCCAAGUGGAAACUGGCAGGUACUCGAAAAUGCAGCUGUCUGAUUGGUCAAUUAGAACCCCUAAUGUACUGUGAUGUCAUGAUAAAGUUAUGAAUUAUAAAUGUUUUAAGGAAAUUUACAGCUAGUUUCGAGUUUCUCGAGUAAGAACUUGGAUUGUAGUAAAGGAGAACUGAAGUAAAACUUGCUUAUCCGUUUAAUCUUCUAUCUAAGCUGUUCAGCCUCGGGUCGCGUGUACUUUUAGCCUGAACACGGAAGUAGAGUGAAUAUGUCAUGAUGUGCCAAAGAAGUACCAGUACUCACAGUAUCUCUUUGGAUGUUCAUAUAAAGUGGAAAUCUAGGAAAAAUCAAAUGUUAGAUGUCAGGUCAUCUAAGUGCAAUCAGAUGAUGUUAUUCAACAUGCUGUGGCCGCAUUGAACUAGAAGUCAUUUCAGGAACAGAAUCCAGGGAUCAUAAGAGAAAUGUAUAUAUAGCCAAUGAUGAUGAUACCUGCUGGCCAAUCACUGCCAAAGAUUAGAAUAACCUAUUCACAUAAAUAUGGCAUCUUUCACACAUAUGGAAUGGAACAUUUUUGCCAAGAUGCUACAUAAACUCUGACACCGAGAAUAUGGCACCUUUCACACAUAUGGAAUGGAAAAUUUUUGCCAAGACGCUACAUAAACUCUGACACCGGAAUAUGGCACCUUUCACACAUAUGAAAUGGAACAUUUUUGCCAAGAGGCUACAUAAACUCUGACACCGAGAAUAUGGCACCUUUCACACAGUCAUAUGGAAUGGAACAUUUUUGCAAAGACGCAACAUAAACUCUGACACCGAACGUACGUUACGACUAGUAGGACAAUAAUGGUAACAUAAAUUACACCAUGUUAAAAACUCUUGUCUUCGGUAUUACUGCAGCCGGUCAGAUUUUGCAUUUAAUAAAUGUAUUUCAUGAAGUCACUUACAGAACAGUACCUAUUGUCAAAUUAACUGUGUCAUAUGACAUAAGCCCUGCUAAGACAUUACUAACACUAAGUCUUGUCAACAAAUAUAUUUAUUGCUUAGACUUUAUGAUUUGAUUUUUGUCGAAAAAUAUGCAUAAUUUCUGCAGCAGAUCCUAGACUAGCGCAAUAUUAUUCUGAGAAAGAACAAAUUCAUAUUUCUGGAUGCAAAGCUAAUUUUCAUUACAUACACAGAGUUAGAUCUAAUCUUAGAAUUAUUCUGGUAGAUGAAAUAAAUAAGUUCUUUAACCAAAGUAAAAUUGAAAAUUUUGAUAUUAAAAGAUUGAAACAGUGUUACAAAUGACGUCACGUACCCGAUACAAAAAUUGCAUGCCAGUACUGUAAAACCUGCUUAAGCGGUCACCUCUAAUUAGCAGCCAACCUGUCUUAAGCAGCCCGUGUCUCGAUCAUUUCCCAAAAUGGUCAUUUAUUCUAUAAAUUACCUGCAUUAAGCAGCCACCUACUGUAAACAGCCACUUUUCCCAACACCCUUGGCUGGCUGUUUAAGACAGGUUUUACUGUAUGGAAAAAUGUUGAUGUAUGUAAUUCGCAUUUGCUCGUGCCAUUUGGAAGAGUAUAAAUAUGAGUAUGUAAUUCAGGUAUUGAUGUUUUCAAGCUUCUGUUUGAUUUGUCGGUUUGUAAUUUCUUUACUUUUCAAAUAUUACACAUCAUUCUAAAAUUCUUGAGUUGAGGUAGUAGGAACUUUUAUUCUGGAAUUCACUUUUAGACUGGUGUAUCCAGUGCCUGGCUUAUUUUCAUGUUGAAUGAUUCUAUACAGAUAUUUAUGUCGGAACAAUGCUGAAUUACCCGACGAUAUUAGUCGACAAGCGUCGACAGCGAUGAAAAUUUCAUCGGAAAUUGCUGCAACUAUUUUGGACCUUCGAGUGUUUGACGCGAGUGGGGAUAUUGCCCAUAUGAAAAAAUUAUCUCAAUAUUUCCUAGGAUGGCGUCAAGUCAGUUGGACUACUGACUAUAUAUAUAUAUAUAUAAUCACAUGGAAAUGGCAAGUGUACUACAUUAUGACACAGUUGUUAAUUAUGAUGAUUAUUGUUGUUUGAACUUGCUGUAAAAUUGGAGCACUUGCACUUUAGCGGUCCCUAUAAUAAUAGUAGUUUAAUAAUGUCUUAAAUAUUAAAAGAGGUAACUUUAUUUUAAGAUGAAUAUGUUUGGGGGCUGCUGCCCUCACAUCCCUGCUUUGCCCCACAUCCCCAACUUGCUGCGCAUGCGCAUUGUAAACUUCCGGGGACCACUAAAGUGCAUUAUACCCGUAAAAUUAAUUAUUCUGACACGAUCCGAUUCAUUUUCCUGUUAAACAAAGAAGACAGAAAACUGAAUUAUUAUACAACAAAUCACUGUUCUGACAUCACAGUUAUUACGUCAUGGCGUCAAACGGCAUAGCGGCACACUGGAAAAGAAACCGAUUGAAAACGGGCAAAUAUUUAAUGAAUGUCGGCAAGAAUCCUUGGUAACAUGUUAGAAUCGAAAUAAUACAUCUCGAUUAGUGAUUUGCUCUUGAAUAAAUCAUUGUUUGUCGUUUCAGAUACGUUUCACCGAGCACUGGAAUACACCUCGCGGCAAGUGCUGGUUUGAUCGCUCUUAGUUGAAUUAAUUUUGUAUUUUAAAUUUGUUUUUUAAGAAAACUCCUGUUAAAAUUUUUUGCUUUUAUAUUCAUUUAAAAAAAAAAAAUUGUUGUCAAUGUUUUUUAAUCCAGUCUUGAAAUUUGCUCACUGCGGUAGGCUACUGUAUUGUUAUUAUUAGAAAUAAAUUUAUGAAGUGAUA